rnacentral:rRNA from 1 species
UACGGGGGGUGCGAGCGUUGUCCGGAAUCACUGGGCGUAAAGGGCGCGUAGGUGGCCUGAUAAGGGUGUGGUGAAAGUCCGGGGCUCAACCCCGGAUCUGCCGUGCCGACUGUUAGGCUAGAGUACUGUAGGGGCAGGCGGAAUUCCGGGUGUAGCGGUGGAAUGCGUAGAGAUCCGGAGGAAGACCGGUGGCGAAGGCGGCCUGCUGGGCAGUUACUGACACUGAGGCGCGACAGCGUGGGGAGCAAACAGG